UACGGAGGGUCCAAGCGUUAUCCGGAUUUAUUGGGUUUAAAGGGUGCGUAGGCGGCACAGUAAGUUAGAGGUGAAAUCUAGUGGCUCAACCACUAAACUGCCUCUGAUACUGCUGAGCUAGAGAUUAGAUGCUGUGGGCGGAAUGUGUAGUGUAGCGGUGAAAUGCUUAGAGAUUACACAGAACACCGAUUGCGAAGGCAGCUCACAAAUCUACUUCUGACGUUGAGGCACGAAAGCGUGGGUAGCAAACAGG
rnacentral:rRNA from 1 species